AUUGAACGCUGGCGGCAGGCCUAACACAUGCAAGUCGAGCGGCAGCGGGAAAGUAGCUUGCUACUUUUGCCGGCGAGCGGCGGACGGGUGAGUAAUGCCUGGGAAAUUGCCCAGUCGAGGGGGAUAACAGUUGGAAACGACCGCUAAUACCGCAUACGCCCUACGGGGGAAAGCAGGGGACCUUCGGGCCUUGCGCGGUUGGAUAUGCCCGGGUGGGAUUAGCGAGUUGGUGAGGUAAUGGCUCACCAAGGCGACGAUCCCUAGCUGGCCUGAGAGGAUGAUCAGGCAAACUGGAACUGAGACACGGUCCAGACUCCUACGGGAGGCAGCAGUGGGGAAUAUUGCACAAUGGGGGAAACCCUGAUGCAGCCAUGCCGCGUGUGUGAAGAAGGCCUUCGGGUUGUAAAGCACUUUCAGCGAGGAGGAAAGGUUGGUGCCUAAUACGUAUCAACUGUGACGUUACUCGCAGAAGAAGCACCGGCUAACUCCGUGCCAGCCGCCGCGGUAAUAC
rnacentral:rRNA from 1 species